UACGUAGGGUGCAAGCGUUAAUCGGAAUUACUGGGCGUAAAGCGUGCGCAGGCGGUCCGUUAAGACAGAUGUGAAAUCCCCGGGCUUAACCUGGGAACUGCAUUUGUGACUGGCGGACUCGAGUAUGGCAGAGGGGGGUAGAAUUCCACGUGUAGCAGUGAAAUGCGUAGAGAUGUGGAGGAAUACCGAUGGCGAAGGGCAGCCCCCCUGGGC
rnacentral:rRNA from 1 species